AUUGAACGCUGGCGGCAGGCCUAACACAUGCAAGUCGAACGGUAACAGGAAGCAGCUUGCUGCUUCGCUGACGAGUGGCGGACGGGUGAGUAAUGUCUGGGAAGCUGCCUGAUGGAGGGGGAUAACUACUGGAAACGGUAGCUAAUACCGCAUAAUGUCGCAAGACCAAAGAGGGGGACCUUCGGGCCUCUUGCCAUCGGAUGUGCCCAGAUGGGAUUAGCUUGUUGGUGGGGUAACGGCUCACCAAGGCGACGAUCCCUAGCUGGUCUGAGAGGAUGACCAGCCACACUGGAACUGAGACACGGUCCAGACUCCUACGGGAGGCAGCAGUGGGGAAUAUUGCACAAUGGGCGCAAGCCUGAUGCAGCCAUGCCGCGUGUAUGAAGAAGGCCUUCGGGUUGUAAAGUACUUUCAGCGGGGAGGAAGGGAGUAAAGUUAAUACCUUUGCUCAUUGACGUUACCCGCAGAAGAAGCACCGGCUAACUCCGUGCCAGCAGCCGCGGUAAUACGGAGGGUGCAAGCGUUAAUCGGAAUUACUGGGCGUAAAGCGCACGCAGGCGGUUUGUUAAGUCAGAUGUGAAAUCCCCGGGCUCAACCUGGGAACUGCAUCUGAUACUGGCAAGCUUGAGUCUCGUAGAGGGGGGUAGAAUUCCAGGU
rnacentral:rRNA from 1 species